GCAAAGAAGUUAUCGUACCGGCAUGCAACAGGCUAAGAGCCAGCUGAUCCAGUCGAAAAAUCACUGGAGAGAUUUCGCUGUUGUUUAGCCACUUCCUGUGUUGCAGAAAACCGUGAAAAGAAACGCUCCGGUGGAAUUCCAGAGGAGAAGAAGAAGAACAAGAAGAGGAUGACGAGGGAGAGAAGAGAUAAAAGGAUGGGAUUCGAAGGCAAUAAUCGUGUAAAAUAAAAGAGGUAUAAAUUUCAUUGGCAGAUUAUAAGAGGAAAUCAAAAUUUCAAUAAAACGUAGCAUCAGAGUGUUAAUGGUACCCAAAGAGUAUUCGCAACGAUCCGCGAAGCUUCAUUACUCGCAAUUACACGCGAUUAAUUUGUAAUCUGGUGCGAUGGGAGUCUUUCGCAUCCCCGUAGACUCAUAUUUCUCUCCUUUCCGAGAAACUCGAGGGCGGCCGGACGUCGUAUUUGCGGCCUCGUAAAAUAAACGGAGCACGUGCUGCUAAGAAGGCCAAGUUCGAAAUGUCGAUCGGAAGAUGAAGUUGUUUAAACGUUCGAACAAGAUUCACUCGCGUUUAUCGUUCGUUUCCUGAAUCAUAUCCAAGCGAAAAACCGCAAGAUUCAUAUGAAAAUUGCACAGUUGUAUCUUCAUUGACACGAGACAAGAUAUUUCACUUUUAAUCAAAGCAAUAACAAACACGACGAUGGAUACACAGAAGAAGAGGAGGAGGAUCCAACAAGGACAGAGCUUGACGUAAGAAUAUUUGCAUUGAUAUUUCGUAAGUGGUUGCAUCAAUGGACAAACGAGUCGUGGAAAUAAACGAAGAAAGUUUGAAAAUUCGCUCGAAAGUCGAUGGUAGCCAAAAGCUUCUCGUGUUACAGCCCGCCUCGUUCGCCAAAACACGGCGACCACGACGAGCCGAGCGUUUCGCACGUAGUUGGCAAAGAUUUCUACCGAUGCGCGUGAAAUAAUUUGGCGUUUGCAUGUGUAUUACGUAAUAUCAUUUUAUAGACUGUAAUGACAACAACAGAGGAAAAAAAAGGUGGACGAGCCUUGACCAGGUAAGACUUAAAAAAACAAAAGACGACACCCACAUUUCUGAAUAAAAUAUCAUUCAACUAUUGUCAGGCACAUAUUUUAAAUAAAAUUUAUGAAAUAUUCUCGAAAUGUCAUGGAACGCCCUGUAUACACACGUAUAGUUGAAACUAUCACUCUUUCAUCGAACGCACUUGAAGCACAUUUAAAAGAAAUCACACCGAACUGAUAACGAUGAACCAUUGGAUAAGAAUUUCAUUUCCCUUUUCGAGGAAAUUCAUAGACUCACCAGGGAUCUUUGAUAUCCGUGACGUCAAAGAUGAUCGAAGUUGUCGAGUUUGAUAAUGACUUUAAGAUACCUUUAUUGAUAAUUGUGUAACGUAUACGCGAUUCUUAUAAAUGAGUGAAAGAAGAAAGAUUUCUUGAUACGAUAGAACAUACAGAUAUUUUUCCACUUUCCUAUGCUCAUCCCUAAGAAAGUUGUCAAAUCGAACCCUGAGGAAUCUCCCUCGAAAAAGAAGCAAAAG